GCAACGAUGCUAACAGCAAGAAGAGCUUAAGAACUGGAAAUGAUGAAGCUAAUGUUGCCCUCCAUGUGUGACAGUGUUCCCUCCAUCUCAGACUCUGUGCCAUGCAGAUGCUGUCUCUUCCCCUUCAAGCAGAUCAUGGGUAUCAGAUUAAUGGACAGUUUUAUUCGAUAUCCUUCAGAGAAGAAUGAAUUGAAAUGCCUCCUUGCAGAUAUCCUGUGCUCCUCUCCCAGUGCUGAUGGGCAGGUCCCAGGUGGGUCCUCCCUGCUCAGUUCUCAGGACAUGUCCCUCCUGUGUGCUGUGUACUUAUUUAUGGCUAUGCAAAUGGUGCUGACGUAUGAUGUGGGAGCACGAUGUGUCCAAAAGCUUUGUAGAGGGACUUAAGGUCAAGCAUCAAGGUAGGCUUUCUGCCGUUUAAGUAGUGGAGACAUCUCUCAUCACAGGCUGAUUAUAUUUCAAAUUUGACAGCAGAUUAUUCUUUUUUCCUUCUCUUCCUCUUUCCCCUCUCACUUUCCUUCAUGCUGAGAGGAUGUGCAGCUCCUCACUGCUGGUGGGCAAAGCUUUUGAUGGCCAGAAGCUAUUCCAGUCCUCCAAAUCAUGUUUUAUCAGGUUUGAACAAAGAGCUCCAUUUCUAAGGGUGAUUUUUAAACCCUGGGGCUACAUAGCAGCGUUCCCUUUGUUGCUAUUAAAUAUCUCCAUUUUCUCUUCUCCUUCCCCUUUGUCUCUUCUGUUCAGAACCCUUCUGUUCUUUGCCAUCACAGCCUCCUGUUAGCACCUCCCCAUAGCCAUCAGCGCAGUCCCCCAGUACCUUGGUUACAGCAGUCUGUGUCUGAUCCUCCUGUGCCUGUGUAAGGAGGGCUUCUGCUGGGAAAUGGGAACACAAAUGGGUGUAGGAGAGCGCAGUUCUGUGGGUGUGUUCCAUGUAUUGUUCUUGAAGUAUCUGUCCCAAAUUGCUAGCUGGGAGACAGUGCUGGAGCAGCUAGUAACGCAUCUGCAGUAAAAUCUUUGAGAAAGUUAUCAAAAUUCUUAACAUGAGCAUGACAAGUAAAUUAAGAUGUGUGGGCUGAAAUGUACCCCCAAACGAAUCCUUAAGCUCUGACAAAUCCGAGCAGUUCACAUACUUUUUAAUCACUUAGCGUUUCUUCCUCAGGGUGGAUACAGUUAUGAUACAAAAAGUGAACACGUUAAGGUCUGACCGAUUCACUGAUAUUUCAAGCAACUGGAAAUAAAGUAAUAAUACAAAAACUUGCA
rnacentral:lncRNA from 1 species